UUAAAUUGAAGAGUUUGAUCAUGGCUCAGAUUGAACGCUGGCGGCAGGCCUAACACAUGCAAGUCGAACGGUAACAGGAAGCAGCUUGCUGCUUCGCUGACGAGUGGCGGACGGGUGAGUAAUGUCUGGGAAACUGCCUGAUGGAGGGGGAUAACUACUGGAAACGGUGGCUAAUACCGCAUAACGUCGCAAGACCAAAGAGGGGGACCUUCGGGCCUCUUGCCAUCAGAUGUGCCCAGAUGGGAUUAGCUAGUUGGUGAGGUAACGGCUCACCAAGGCGACGAUCCCUAGCUGGUCUGAGAGGAUGACCAGCCACACUGGAACUGAGACACGGUCCAGACUCCUACGGGAGGCAGCAGUGGGGAAUAUUGCACAAUGGGCGCAAGCCUGAUGCAGCCAUGCCGCGUGUAUGAAGAAGGCCUUCGGGUUGUAAAGUACUUUCAGCGGGGAGGAAGGUGUUGUGGUUAAUAACCGCAGCAAUUGACGUUACCCGCAGAAGAAGCACCGGCUAACUCCGUGCCAGCAGCCGCGGUAAUACGGAGGGUGCAAGCGUUAAUCGGAAUUACUGGGCGUAAAGCGCACGCAGGCGGUCUGUCAAGUCGGAUGUGAAAUCCCCGGGCUCAACCUGGGAACUGCAUUCGAAACUGGCAGGCUUGAGUCUUGUAGAGGGGGGUAGAAUUCCAGGUGUAGCGGUGAAAUGCGUAGAGAUCUGGAGGAAUACCGGUGGCGAAGGCGGCCCCCUGGACAAAGACUGACGCUCAGGUGCGAAAGCGUGGGGAGCAAACAGGAUUAGAUACCCUGGUAGUCCACGCCGUAAACGAUGUCUACUUGGAGGUUGUGCCCUUGAGGCGUGGCUUCCGGAGCUAACGCGUUAAGUAGACCGCCUGGGGAGUACGGCCGCAAGGUUAAAACUCAAAUGAAUUGACGGGGGCCCGCACAAGCGGUGGAGCAUGUGGUUUAAUUCGAUGCAACGCGAAGAACCUUACCUGGUCUUGACAUCCACAGAACUUUCCAGAGAUGGACUGGUGCCUUCGGGAACUGUGAGACAGGUGCUGCAUGGCUGUCGUCAGCUCGUGUUGUGAAAUGUUGGGUUAAGUCCCGCAACGAGCGCAACCCUUAUCCUUUGUUGCCAGCGGUUAGGCCGGGAACUCAAAGGAGACUGCCAGUGAUAAACUGGAGGAAGGUGGGGAUGACGUCAAGUCAUCAUGGCCCUUACGACCAGGGCUACACACGUGCUACAAUGGCGCAUACAAAGAGAAGCGACCUCGCGAGAGCAAGCGGACCUCAUAAAGUGCGUCGUAGUCCGGAUUGGAGUCUGCAACUCGACUCCAUGAAGUCGGAAUCGCUAGUAAUCGUGGAUCAGAAUGCCACGGUGAAUACGUUCCCGGGCCUUGUACACACCGCCCGUCACACCAUGGGAGUGGGUUGCAAAAGAAGUAGGUAGCUUAACCUUCGGGAGGGCGCUUACCACUUUGUGAUUCAUGACUGGGGUGAAGUCGUAACAAGGUAACCGUAGGGGAACCUGCGGUUGGAUCACCUCCUUACCUUAAAGAAGC
rnacentral:rRNA from 5 species